rnacentral:lncRNA from 1 species
UAGAAAGAAAGCCUAAGAUCACCUGAAAACCCCUGACACCUUCCUUGUAUUCUAAAUCUUAAAAUUAUAUAACGCUGUUGAUUAGAAUCUUGUUAUCCUACUUCUUCGUUACUUUAGUUAAGCAUCAUCUUUUCCCUAAAAUAUUACAAUUGAUAACCAGUUUUGGGAAUCUUGCAGAAAACAUUAAUGGCCGCCUGCACAAAAUUUGGCAUGACAUUUGAAGUAAGCCAGCCAGCCAGCCAGCCAUUACAGAACAAAUUAAAGGUACGUACGUAGUUGCAGGUUGCUAUCAUUAAUGUAGAUUUAAUAGUUUAAUCAAAUAAUGAAAUCUGAUGAAGAUCUUAACUGAUAAAUUAGUGUUCAACCAAAAGCUGAGGUUCAAGAUUUCUGAAAAAUGAUGACACUGCACUUGGCUACAUAACAUUUAAACACCAAGGGACUCAAAUCUAUACAUCAUCAACUAAAAGUGAUAUUGGAUGAUUAGAAAGAGCUAGCUAGGCCUCCUCGGCGGCGGCUUCACCUGGGAUACCAUACAUACCAUAAUCCUAAUCAGUAAUCACCACAACAUAUAUAAUGAAUAAUUGUUCUAAAGGCACCUCCCAUUACAAGUUACCAAUAUAAUAGUACUACCAAAUAUUGUAUAUAGAUAUAUACAAGGCUAACAAAGAUCGGGUAUUACCGGAUGGAGAUGAGGUUUUGAGGACCCAAAGCUUGCUUCAAUAUGCUACUUAAAUCCUCCCUCCUAAUUAAUUCCAAUAUGGCAGGGCAGUACGUAUAUACAACCUAAUAUGGAGAGAGAGAAGGAAAGUAAAACAGGAACUGCAAACACACAAUAGUUAGUUAGUUAGAUAAGUUGCAUAUAAUUAAAUGAUCAGUCGAUGUUAAGAAUAGGAGAUACCAAAAACUAAAAAAUAAAAAAUAAAAAGUCUAAUAAAGCUAAUUUUAAAAUAAAUAUAGAGAGGCAGCAGCAGAGAGAGACCUUAAUUAGGACAAACAUGUCAUGCAUCUGUGUCCUCCGUUUUCUCUGGGUGUCGAAGCUUUUCCAGAUGUUGAGCUAUCUGUGUCAACAGUUUUGUUCCUUCACCACCCUUCUGGAGUGUCAUCGCUGCAUGUUUUAAGAAUCCACUAUCUGCUUCAAUGGCUCUCAACCUCUCCCUAAAUAGUGACGACUCUCUUUUAAGGACGGCCUUAUUGUCAAUUCCUGCCACCCGAGAAGAUCGAUCAAAAAAUUAGCAGAUUGGUUAAAGAACAGAGAAAAGGGAAUGAGUUACACAUGCAUGUUAUUUACCUCUGUCUUCAUCUUCUUUGUUAACCAUGUCAUGAUUAGAACUCGAGGAACCAGUGCCCUCUUCUGAAGAGAACUGAACUUUCUUCUCUAGAUUUGUCAACAUACCUAAAAGAUAAGAUUUCUCACCCUCAAAAUCUAAUGAUGCUUCAUCAAUGGUCCCCCCUCUAUUUUCUCUUAUUCCUUCAGGACUAUCCUCGUUUUCGCGAUUAUAAUCCGCUUCACCAGGACUUUCGCACUCAGAUUUCUCACCAAAGGAUGAAUAAGUUUGAGAUUUCAACUCUUGGUAAUCUUCAUCUACAUCCACUUCACAUUCAUCACUACCUACCUUCUUCAAAUGUCCAUAUUUUUCUUUGUAUGCCUCAAGAUCAGCCUCUAAAACCUUGAUCUCAUCCUCUCUCUUGACAAUAAUAUCCUUCAUAACUUGUAGGGCUUCUUGGUCAUACUCUGCCUGCUCAUCCAUCAUUCUCUGAUAUUGUAAAGCCUCCAUUUGCACAGAGGCCUUCUCUGCCUGCAGCCUGGUGAUCAUGGCCAUUGCAUUAUUUGCAGCAACUGCAGAAGCACUUCUUUCUUCAUCCAGUUCCAUGUACAACUCGAUGAGGGACUUGCGAUCCAAACGAAUUUGUUUUUUCAAACGCUGCACAAUGUCGCCCUCUGCUUCAUUUGCAGCAUUUGUGUCAUUGGACUCGGCAAAGAACUCCUUCUCAAAUUGCUUUUUUCUGGCAAGCCGGUUAGCCCAUCUAGGAGUGCCUGGACCUGAAGCUGCAUCUGUUAGUGGGAUUCCAAAAAACUUGUUUCCUCUAAUGAAACUAGGAGUUUUGGAAGCAUCUUCACUUAUGUCCUCAGACUCUGGUAGAAAUCGCACCGUUGCAGAUUUUAAAUCCUCUCUGACUUCUACAAACAAUAUAAAGCAAAAUUUCUUUAGAAUAGAAAGUGUUCAAAUCCCUCGAAAGGUUGUCAGUUAGGAACUUGCUCCCGUGACUAGGAAGACAAAAUUCAGCAAAAAUAAAAAACAAUACACUGAGAAAGAAACUACCAUUGGUCAAAAUUAAACUAAAGAAACUACCAUAAUCAUAGUGUACAAAAGGAAAAUGUAGUGCUUUAUUUUUUUGUGGUAAUGUGUGUGGUGCAGUCUAAUGGUCUCUCUACUCUAAUUGAUCAUAUGUAUCUUACAAAUUGGCACUGCACAAAAAGAAGUAGCUAAAAAUAUAAUCUUACGCGGGUGAUCUGCUUUGAUUCCGAUUUCAUCUUCUUGAAGCUCUGAGUCGAUAUCUGACAUUAACUUGAACUCGUUGAAGCGAAUGUGUGUCAAUUCUAGAUUGCGCACUUCGUCAUUUCUCCAUGCCACUCGAGGGGAAGGAGCUGGAGUAUUUGACAGAAUGGUGGCAUUCAUCGACUUUUUCUUUGAGUUUCUCAACUUUAAAGACUCCCCACAACAAGAACACCUAUUAGCACUAGCUGGCACCACAUCAUUGCCUUUCAAAAAUAUUUUAUGAUCAUCCUCAACAAACCCCCCAUCCAUAUCCUUGUGCAAGAUACCAACCAAGGACUUGUGGGUAUCAAUAUCAGGAUCUUUCUCUGCCGCAAAAGAAAGAAGGCAUCCCUCACACAUACUCUUGAUGUCCGAGAGUUUGCGAUGGACGUGACAAUAAGCAAGGGAAGAAAUGUUCUUCUUAUGAUCCUCACAUAUCGAUUCGUUGUAGUAAAAAUCAGAAUCUCUAUGAACAAGAACAUGAUCGAUCCUCGUGCAGAGCAAACAGGGGGUUUCCAGAUCAAAAUACUUGGCGAAUUCGUUGGAUAUAAAUGCAAGAAAUCCAUCAAUGAAAAGCAAAACUAUCAUUACCAAUUCCAGAAAGGCGUAAAUCAAGAAUUGUGGAAAUAUUCCCAAAUUUUGCUCAACAAAUUGCUUGAAUUGCGAUGCCAUUAUACUCGUACGGAUCAAACAAAGACUACAACAACAAUAAUAAUAUAUAUGAUGAAGGGAUCAAGAUCAAAAAGUGGGCAUGUAUGAAUGGAAGAGUGGGCAGGAAAAGUGUGGAGACAGAUCAUGAUCUUGGAGGUAAAAGGAGAGCCCAGAUCAUGAUCUACCUCUUUCUUUCUCUCUCCUCUCUUGUAAGACCUAGAGAGAGAUGUUUUUCUUUUUUGCAAUACAAGAUUUGAAAAUCUGGGUGGUGAAAAUGUUGUGGCCGAAUUUAGAAUAAUAGGUUGCACAUAUUUUUUGUUCAGGAGUAGAGGUUGUCAGCCAGACUAUGUACCUGAAAUAACGGCCUGUCCCGCACUCUUCGACCAACCAAGACGAGGGAAAAAAAAGGAGACAAUUAUGUUAAUAAUUAAGAGCAUUCACAAUAUUUUUCUUAUCUCUAUCCCUAUUAGGUCAUUCUGUAGGAUAGGGAUUCAAAAUUUUCACUAUAUACCCAACAGGUUCCUUAUAUUGAUUCCUUAAAUAUUAAAAUUUAAAAUUUAAAAUUUGAAAGUUGCAACAGUCAAAUCAUGUUUUGAACAUUGUAACUAUUUUUUAUUUAAAAGUAAUUAUUGUUUGAAUUUAAAAAUUGCAAUUAUUUUAAUUUAAAAAUAGAUAUUGCUAGAAAUCAAAAUGUGCAACGAUCAUUAUGUGUUUAUGAGAACUAAAACAACAUUAUUUUAAUUAUAAAAUAAUAAAAUUUAUAAUUAGUAGUAAUAUUUUUUACAAAAAUGAUCAAAGUCAAAAUUUUACUGAUUUUUAAUUUUUUUUUUUAUAGUUCUCUUUCUUCUCUAAAUCCUCUGCUUAAAAAAUAAAAAUGAGUGAAUUUGAUAGGCAUACCCAAAUAAGCAAUUAAGUGAGAUAAGAUCCUUUAACUAACAUAAAAUCACAAUAAAUAGGGUGUGAAAUAUUAUUUUACAUAAAUAGGGAACGCUCUUUUGAUUUCCUCACCCUGAAGAGUCAAAUCAUAUAUAGGGAUUAAAAUAGAGAAUUAUAUAAGGAUAAAGAAACUGUUGGAUACUGAUUUAUUGAUAUAUUCUUCAAAUGUGGGGAUAGAGAGUCUAUUAGAGAAACUGUUGUAAAUGCUCUAAGUAACCAAAUAAUUUGUUAAAUCCUCAAACUUUACUUGUCCUAAUUUCUUUUUUUUAGUUUGUCUAAUUCUAUUUGUCCUCUUUUCUUUUUAAUAGUAUUAUUUUUUUAAUAAUACCCGCAUUUAAUUUUUUUUAAAAAAAUUAUUGAAAAUAACAUAACAUACAUUAGAAAAAAUAAAAUAAUUUUGACAUUGGAAUCACAAUCACGCCAUUCUUUUUUUUCCCUCUCUCUCCUAAAAUAUUCCAAGAAAGAGUUGAAAGAUUAGAUAAAACAAAACGAUGAUAAUAUAGUAAUUAAGAUGAAUAAUUUAGAGAUCAAAAAAAUUUCUUAAUACAUAUGUACUUUCAAACUAUAGAAAGUAAAUUUUUUUAGUCAAAAUAAUACAAAUUAAGUAAAACUUAAUAUAAAUAUAAAUUGAGACAUGAAAAAUACCACACAUGAACUAUUGGUAUGAAUUUAUGCUACGUUUGGAUUAAAGGAAUGGAACAGAGUAGGAAAUGGGAUAGAUGAGGGAAUGGAAUGGAAUGAUUUUUUAAUAUUCCAUGUACAUGUUUGGUUGAUGUUAUGAAUACAUCUAAGAAUGAAAUAAAUAAUUAGAAAAUGACCUAAAUACCCUCAAAUGUUCAAAUUUAACUUCAAUUCAAUUUAUAUUAAAAAAUUAACACAUACCCUCCAAUAAAAUGAUUCAUUCCAUUCUUCCUCCUAUUUCAUCGAUCCAAACGUAGCAUUAGUAUUACACUAUAAAAUACGGGAGGUUUGGGACACCUCAGUCCUCACAUUUGUGUGUGAGGAAUCUCUUAUGGUAACAAUGAUUUAAAAAAUUAUAAAAUGCUAUUAUAUAUAUAUAUAUAUAUAUAUAUAUAUAUAUAUAUAUAUAUAUAUUGAAAGGGAAUAUAUUUAAUUAUAUAAAAUGACGUUAUUUUUAAUAUAAUCUCUUUUUACUAUUAUAAUAUUAAUAUACAAUAUAAUAAUAAAAUAUGUACGUAAAACAUAAAAUUUAAAAUCUGAUUUUAAACCCCAGAAUUAUUCAUAUUUAGAGGGCUUGGGGUAUGGUGAUGAAUCUGGUGUGAGAAAAAUAAAUAUCAGAUAUUUAUUAAUAUUCCAUUAAUUAAUCAAAAUUAUGUAUUUUUUAGUUGUCUGUUUUAUUAAGUAGAUGUUAUUUUUAAAAAUACAAUUUGUCAUUCAAAGGAAUUAUACAAGGUUAUAUUUGUUCCAUACUUUCGGUUUAUUUUAUUAAGUGUUUAUGUUUAUUUUUGUUAAUAAAAUAUUGGUUCGGUAUUAUAAGAAUUUUGUAUGAUUGUAUAUCUGUUAGGGUUCUCCGCAGUAGCCGUUGAUGUCACCUUACAACAGAACACAAGCCG